rnacentral:misc_RNA from 1 species
GAUGAAGAACGUAGCGAAAUGCGAUAAGUAAUGUGAAUUGCAGAAUUCAGUGAAUCAUCGAAUCUUUGAACGCACAUUGCGCCCGCCAGUAUUCUGGCGGGCAUGCCUGUUCGAGCGUCAUUACAACCCUCAGGCCCCCGGGCCUGGCGUUGGGGAUCGGCGGAAGCCCCCUGUGGGCACACGCCGUCCCUCAAAUACAGUGGCGGUCCCGCCGCAGCUUCCAUUGCGUAGUAGCUAACACCUCGCAACUGGAGAGCGGCGCGGCCAUGCCGUAAAACACCCAACUUCUGAAUGUUGACCUCGAAUCAGGUAGGAAUACCCGCUGAACUUAAGCAUAUCAAUAGCGGAGGA